CCUACUACACGUCUCUAGAGUCUUCUUUAAAAAAUCAAAAAUCAAAUCAGCAAACGCAAGCAGAAGACAGAAGCUUCAAUCCCAUCUCAGAUCUGUUCUCACUUCUCAAUAUUAAAUCAAAAUAUCACUCCCAAUCUCAGAAGUCUCCGUUCUCUCUACUCCCAAUCUCAAGUCUCUCUAGUCUCAGGUCUCAACCCUUCACUGACUUCAUUCCAUACCCUCCACAAUCCAAACCCCAGCUGUUGCCGCCGCCGCCUCAUCAACACACUCACAGCUUCGCCUCACUGUCCACCAUGGGUUAAGGCUUCUCAUGUUGACGGAUCAGUUUCUUAGUCUCAAGACUCAGAGCAGGACCUUUAAAAUUGUGAAGAAAAGUACAAUUGGAAUAGAUAGAGAACCUCUGUCCUAUAUAAGAUACAGAAGAGCAGGACCUUUAAAAUUGUGAAGAAAAGUACAAUUGGAAUAGAAGGAGAACCUCUGCCCUAUAUAAGAUACAGAAAUACAUGCAUCAUUGAUACCGAGAUAUUCUUUGAAAUUUCAUAGCAUUAAUUGAAGAAGAGGGGAGCUGUAUAUUGAAGAAGGAGACGAAGGAUUUUGGGUUUUGAUUAUUGUAGAAGGGGAGGUGAACCUGAAAAUACACGGGUGUGAAGAGCAAUGUUUUAUUCACCAAAAAAAAAAAAAAAAGAGCACAGCGUAAUCUGAGGGAAGACACGUCAUACAAUUAGAGUUAUAAUUUGAAAUUGUAAUCUGGACACGUGGCAUAAAAUUAGAGAUUUAAUUUGAAAUUACAAUUUGAGUUUCUCUCUGCUUCACCUAUUAUUUUAUA